GACGAACGCUGGCGGCGUGCCUAAUACAUGCAAGUCGAGCGAGUCUGCCUUGAAGAUCGGAGUGCUUGCACUCUGUGAAACAAGAUACAGGCUAGCGGCGGACGGGUGAGUAACACGUGGGUAACCUGCCCAAGAGAUCGGGAUAACACCUGGAAACAGAUGCUAAUACCGGAUAACAACAGAUGAUGCCUAUCAACUGUUUAAAAGAUGGUUCUGCUAUCACUCUUGGAUGGACCUGCGGUGCAUUAGCUAGUUGGUAGGGUAACGGCCUACCAAGGCGAUGAUGCAUAGCCGAGUUGAGAGACUGAUCGGCCACAUUGGGACUGAGACACGGCCCAAACUCCUACGGGAGGCAGCAGUAGGGAAUCUUCCACAAUGGACGCAAGUCUGAUGGAGCAACGCCGCGUGAGUGAAGAAGGGUUUCGGCUCGUAAAGCUCUGUUGUUGGUGAGGAAGGACAGGGGUAGUAACUGACCUUUGUUUGACGGUAAUCAAUGAGAAAGUCACGGCUAACUAAGUG
rnacentral:rRNA from 1 species